GACACACAUUGUUUAAUUAUCAGUGAGACACGGUGAAGCCAACUGGAAUCUCCCUGUUUCACCCCAAGGUAGCACAACUGCUGACACACCUUGUGCAGCACCUCUGGAAUGUGGACUGGAAAAGCAGACCGGCUGUAACACUGAACAGUGUGUGACUAACAAGGGUGACUGGCUGUGUUACAACACACAAGAAGAACGUGGCAUCUAAAGUAACCGAAUUAGGGAAGAUCGUGACGAAAGGACAACAAGAGCACAAGAAAUGCAAAACCUUGACUAAUGGGCGUGGUAGUUUCACACAGAGUUUCACUUCAAGCCGUCCUUCCUGUCAUUCAGCAACUUAUUCAGCACUGAGCUUUCACAGGGAUAAGUCGCCUCUUAGGAAGUUGAUUUCCUACAACAUUCAAAGGUUUGAUGGACCAUACGUGGACAAUUUCAGUGAAUAUUUCCAAUUUUUAAGGACAUCGUAUAAAGCUACAGCUGUCACCUGAAAGUGGAAUAUUUCUAAGGGGAAAAGAAGAUCCUUGUUAUUUUUGUUACUGAUAAAUAACUGGACAAACUUGGCUUGACAGGAGUGCGAUCAGACCAAGGAGAAUAUUCAGGACUGAACCUUUUAAACACAACCAGAUAUGUCAAAGUCAGCUCAGACAUAUGACAAAGAAGAAACUGUUUCACUCAACAUUAUAGGAGGAGCAGCAGACGAACAAAAUAACACUUGCAACCAAGCGAAAGACACGACUGGAAAGAUUGCUGCAUCCUGCUGUAAUGAUGAGCAUUACAGGAGACUGGCUCACUGCAGCAUCAUCUGUGGGUGCUCCUGCAUUGGAAUCCAAGCUCUGGAAAAUUCAUUAAAGGCUGAGAGGACAACUGACCGAGACACUGCUGCUAAACUUUCAAAGAGAUCAAGAAAUCUCAGCAUCGCCUCCAUCAUGACCUUUUUUGCCAUUCUGUUGUCGCUGCCCUUACUAACACUGCUCAUCUCCUAUCUCAUCACUCUGAAAGAGUGAUGAACCUCAACAGAAAAGUGUUGCGUCUCGUACAAUUUUUCGGCAUGCAAAAAGACAAAGCUGCUGAGGAAAAGACUAAAACUCAUAAAGAGCCUGGAAGUUACAUGAAACACAAAAAAGCUGAACCUUUCUUGUGCUGACGAAAAGAAAGCAAAAAAAGCUGUGCCACUUUAAACUUUUAUAAUUACGCUUUCCCUAUUUUUUUAUAAAGAACAAGCAGUCUACAAAAUGGUAUUAAAUCCAUACAACUUUUACAUGCUUCCUACUGUGUAAUAUUUAUUUAACAAUAAACAAAUAUAUGGACAAUUCUAAAUCAAAAGGAAAAUAUAAAAUCCAGCAUUAACAUAAGUUGAAAACAUGACAUUACAAGACCUAAAUAUUGUCCUAUUGGAAGGUUUUCAACCCUUUUUAAUUUCAAUAUGCUUUUAAUGGUAAUGUGAUAAAGUUGAUUAAAUAUAAGGAAGAAAUUUGACUAAUUUCUUCUUGAAGAAGAUAAGUAGACAAAAACCCUAAAAGGGGUUGAAAACUUUCCAAAUGCACUUUACAUAAAAAAGAUUAGAACUGUCAUGCUCCAGUAAGAGCCCAAUUCUCCUUUGUUAUCAUUACAGGUUUACCCUCACUGUUACUGUUCAAACUUGUAAAUAUAUGAAAACCUAAUGAGUCAGUCUGGAACAACUGUAGCAACACAAACAUAAAGCUCAAGAAUUUGAUGGUUUACUGGAAACAAAUGGCAUGGUGGUCAUUAUGGCAGUGCUUAACAGAGGCUCUUGAGGUGCCAACAUUAUCUUGAUUUUAUUGCAUUGUUACUAUAACUUUAUUAUUUUCUUUGAUGUAUACACAUGUUGUACUUUUAUACAUUUACACAAAGUAUUUUAUAAUAAAAUGGGUUGUUGUGCUUCA